rnacentral:rRNA from 1 species
UACGUAGGGGGCAAGCGUUGUCCGGAAUCAUUGGGCGUAAAGAGCGUGUAGGCGGUCCGGUCAGUCGGUUGUGAAAGUCAAGGGCUCAACCCUUGAAUGCCGGCCGAUACUGCCGGGCUAGAGUCCGGAAGAGGUGAGUGGAAUUCAUGGUGUAGCGGUGAAAUGCGCAGAUAUCAGGAAGAACACCUAUGGCGAAGGCAGCUCUCUGGGACGGUACUGACGCUGAGACGCGAAAGCGUGGGGAGCGAACAGG